UCCGUAGGUGAACCUGCGGAGGGAUCAUUACUGAGUUUACGCUCUACAACCCUUUGUGAACAUACCUAUAACUGUUGCUUCGGCGGGCAGGGUCUCCGUGACCCUCCCGGCCUCCCGCCCCCGGGCGGGUCGGCGCCCGCCGGAGGAUAACCAAACUCUGAUUUAACGACGUUUCUUCUGAGUGGUACAAGCAAAUAAUCAAAACUUUUAACAACGGAUCUCUUGGUUCUGGCAUCGAUGAAGAACGCAGCGAAAUGCGAUAAGUAAUGUGAAUUGCAGAAUUCAGUGAAUCAUCGAAUCUUUGAACGCACAUUGCGCCCGCCAGCAUUCUGGCGGGCAUGCCUGUUCGAGCGUCAUUUCAACCCUCAAGCUCUGCUUGGUGUUGGGGCCCUACGGCUGACGUAGGCCCUCAAAGGUAGUGGCGGACCCUCCCGGAGCCUCCUUUGCGUAGUAACUUUACGUCUCGCACUGGGAUCCGGAGGGACUCUUGCCGUAAAACCCCCAAUUUUCCAAAGGUUGACCUCGGAUCAGGUAGGAAUACCCGCUGAACUUAAGCAUAUCAAUAAGCGGAGGAA
rnacentral:rRNA from 1 species